rnacentral:rRNA from 1 species
CUUUCAACAACGGAUCUCUUGGUUCUGGCAUCGAUGAAGGACGCAGCGAAAUGCGAUAAGUAAUGUGAAUUGCAGAAUUUAGUGAAUCAUCGAAUCUUUGAACGCACAUUGCGCCCUGUGGUAUUCCGCAGGGCAUGCCUGUUCGAGCGUCAUUA